rnacentral:rRNA from 1 species
GACGAACGCUGGCGGCGUGCUUAACACAUGCAAGUCGAACGGAAAGGCCCUGCUUUUGUGGGGUGCUCGAGUGGCGAACGGGUGAGUAACACGUGAGUAACCUGCCCUUGACUUUGGGAUAACUUCAGGAAACUGGGGCUAAUACCGGAUAGGAGCUCCUGCUGCAUGGUGGGGGUUGGAAAGUUUCGGCGGUUGGGGAUGGACUCGCGGCUUAUCAGCUUGUUGGUGUGGUAGUGGCUUACCAAGGCUUUGACGGGUAGCCGGCCUGAGAGGGUGACCGGCCACAUUGGGACUAAGAUACGGCCCAGACGCCUACGGGAGGCAGCAGUGGGGAAUAUUACACAAUGGGCGGAAGCCUGAUGCAGCAACGCCGCGUGCGGGAUGCCGGCCUUCGGGUUGUAAACCGAUUUCGCCUGUGACGAAGCGUGAGUGACGGUAAUGGGUAAAGAAGCACCGGCUAACUACGUG